AUGAUGAGAAAAAUUACUAGCAAUUCCAUUGGUCAUAAUUUGCUUGAGUCAAAAUUUUCUCAAUCUUCUGAUUUUGUGUGCACAUCUUGUGACACGGGAAAGCUAAUUUUGAGGCCCUCACACCUCAAAAUACAAGCUGAACCACUUCAGUUCCUUGAACGUAUUCAAGGAGACAUUUGUGGUCCUAUUCAACCAUUAUCUGGACCUUUCCGCUUUGUUGACGAAUUGCAACUUGCCAACCUCUUGUUGGGGUCACGCUGUUUUACACGCUGCUGA
rnacentral:rRNA from 1 species